rnacentral:rRNA from 1 species
UACGAGGGGGGCAAGCGUUAUUCGGAAUUAUUGGGCGUAAAGGGCGCGUAGGCGGCUUGGUAAGUCAAAGGUGAAAUCCCUCGGCUCAACUGAGGAACUGCCUUUGAAACUGCCUGGCUCGAGGCCGGGAGGGGGUAGCGGAAUUCCCAAUGUAGCGGUGAAAUGCGUAGAUAUUGGGAGGAACACCGGUGGCGAAGGCGGCUACCUGGACCGGUUCUGACGCUGAUGCGCGAAAGCGUGGGGAG